CUUGGAUCCCUGAAUGACCGUGUGGACCAGAGGCUUCCACCGUACCGCAGCACAAGCUCUCCUCUGAAGCGCUACCUCUGGUAAUUCACGGUUCUGAUUCCAUGUUGGUUGAUUCUCCAGUGGAUUUUUCUCCACCAAAUCGCUUCUGAGGCCCGUCUACCGAGGUGACGUCACACAAAGCAGGGAAAUCAUCGCUAUCGGUGACGAAUAGGCUGCUGUUAUGUGUUACUUCCACUUGCAUACAUCCAUCGCGUUUCAAGUCCUGGCGUCCAAAGGACAAUUUCAGGCCAUGGGAUAACAAAGCAUCUUCCAGGAAGCGGCGGGCUUGUAAGGAGAAGGUAAGUGGGACCAAUUUGCAGAACGUAUCUGGGGUCAAGCAGGGCUUUUCAUCGCUGGCCUCCUAAU
rnacentral:lncRNA from 1 species